UGUCAGUGUACUUAAUAACUUGACAAGAAGAUUUAUGUAGUUUAUAUUUAUAAUACUUUUGAUCGUGUUUACAUUUUUUUUUUGACCGGAGAAUCGUACGGAAUAGAGUGUUUACGUUGUACAGACGCUGUCCUGAACGGUUCUUCUAUCCCGUCUGCAGUAAAAUUCUUGCUGUCUACAUUUGAAUCGACUUACAGAACACCAGAAUGUGAAAAUGCUCAAACUGCUCAGGCGGCUUCAGAUGUUACAUUGAAUACGUGCACGGACGCCCCUGGUCCAGGACAAGUUAAUAGAUGUGGAAGACUGAUUGGGACACUGAAGGUGUCGAUAGACCCCCCAUUUUUCGAUAAAAUAGAAUUGCCUAUUCAUUUCCACAUCAGAGGAUGUUUCAGUCAUUAGGUGGAGGGUGUUAUCGAGACAAACGAAUUAUUGAUCAGCAGAGAGGUGUUUUGUCUAAUGUCCUGAAAGGAAUAUCUUCCUUGCAACUUGGGGAAUUCAAUGGUGUGCUCUGCAUAAAUGGAGCUAACAACUUGGAUGCAUGGAGACUUAAUAGGACAAUCAGACAUGCUUAUUCCUCGUCAAUUUUAUUUCUCUGUGCUAUUGCUUCAAUAAUUUUCCUAAACAAAACAUAUUAAGCAUAAUUUAUACAAGUGCAUACAUAUCAUGUUUAAAAAAAAUUGAUUGGAAAAUUCCUACAUUUCUUUCUCUUGUCUUCUAUGAGGGUUAUGUACGACAAUUUUGAUGACUCCAGUUUUUAUUAUAUGCAUUUUUAUUUA